rnacentral:rRNA from 1 species
AUGCAGCUAGUUUGUACCAGGAACACGACCAUUAAUAUCAAUGGCGAGGUGGGACCUUACUUUAGGUCCUCUAGGGGAGUGAAACAAGGGGACCCCAUCUCACCUCUUCUCUUCAACCUAGCGGUUAAUGCCCUUGUUGGCAUCUUAGACAAGGAUACGUUGGCCGGCCACCUAACAAAGGUGGUUAGUCACUUGAUCCCUGGUGGUCAUGUCACCCAUCUGCAAUACACGGAUGCCACCAUGAUUAUGGUGGAGGGAUCGGACAUGGACAUAGUUAAUCUUAAGUUCCUACUUCUAUGCUUUGAGGCUAUGUCGGGACUUAAGAUUAACUUAGACAAGAGCGACGUAGUGGUCCUGGGAUUCUCUGCAGAAGAUCAACAGAGGAUUGUGGACAACCUUAACUGUAAACUUGCGUCCUUCCCCAUGGCUUAUCUAGGGAUGCCAAUGUCUGACUCCAGGAUCUUGACGACGGAGUUCGACCCGCUCGAUGGACGAGUAGCGUCCUGUGCGGAGCCAUGGUGUGGACGGUUCACUUCCAAAGGAAGCAAAACCGUCCUCAUCAGCUCCAACUUUUCCAUCCUCCCCAUGUAUAUGAUGGGGAUGUAUACCCUGCCGGAGGAUGUCCAUGCUUCCUUCGAUAAGGAGUUGGCAAGGUUCUUAUGGCAAGCUGCUGAUGGCCGUCCAAAGUACCACAUGGUCAAGUGGGCGGACAUUUGUCUACCUAAGGAUCGGGGUGGGCUAGGCAUCAUGGCCUCUUGA